UUGAACCAUACUGUCGUGUUCUGAUUGUUCGCUAAAAUUGUUGCUCGAAAAGUAUAUUUUUUCAGUUAACAACUCCUAAGUUAAUACCACUUGAAUUUCAAAACCUAGAAUAGUUUUUCUACAGAAUCUAUAGUGAAUUAUUAAGAUUCUAUAGUGGUUAUCAUGCCAGAAGAUCGUUCAUAGUUUCGUUCCUUUCGUUUCGAUACUUACGAGUUAUAACUAAGAACUAGAUUUGGCUAUACGACCCUAAUCGGUGUCAAUCGAUCGUUACGUAGAAAACCAAGGAAAC